rnacentral:rRNA from 1 species
UCCUACGGGGGGCAGCAGUAGGGAAUUUUCGUCAAUGGGCGCAAGCCUGAACGAGCGAUGCCGCGUGAGUGAAGAAGGCCUUCGGGUCGUAAAGCUCAGUUGCGGGGGAAAAAAGGCAGCAUCAGGAAAUGGGCGCUGACUGAUGGUGCCCCGCCAGAAAGCCACGGCUAACUACGUGCCAGCAGCCGCGGUAAUACGUAGGUGGCGAGCGUUAUCCGGAAUGAUUGGGCGUAAAGGGUGCGCAGGCGGUCC